UUCACAGGGACCAUUUCAAUCUUCAAACCCACCAAACGCCCUGUCCAGAUUAUUGAUUGCUUAACGUUCCAAAUUGCUCUGAUUUUUCAUAAAUAGUUAUAUCAGGCAAUUAUGGCUGUCUUAAUGGAAUAAUUUAACCAGGUUCGGACCCUUUUACCCUGAUAAUUGUCACAAAGCACAAAUUAUCCUCAAAUGUUCUUGCCCUAACUGGGGUCACCUGAAGAUUCCUGACAUGUACGAUCUCUACAAUGCUGAAGUUGAGAUAUUGAGCCCUUAAACCAACCAUUUACCAACUGAAAAUCAGUAUUUGAACGAAGGCAAGGAGUACUUGACGGGCAGAAACUCCGGGCAGACAGUGAGGACCACCAUCUGCUAAUAAAACCCUCCAAUUCCAAAGCAAGGGAAUUUUUAGCAGCACCGUAACCAUAGUUUUGUUUAUCUGUCUGUAACACACACAUUUUAUGUUGCUUUCAAUAGGUUCAGAAUAUCCAAACCCCGAGGGAUGAAAACAAAACUACUGCAACAAUGAAACAUCACAAAUUUCUUCCUCCGCGCAAAUACUUCUUCCUCGUGCCCUUCCAUCAGAAUUCAGAAACAAUGCGUCUUUGGAAUGUGUUCACAUCUGAUGAAUUCAGUUAAAACUGAAAAUUUAUUUUUGGUUCAAUGGCUAAAUGCGAUAAUAUCACUCACCUGAUUCAACUCCCCACCAACCGAGUUUGAAUUGUGUUACAGCUCACCAUUCACCAAUUGCCACUAUCCAUAAGAAAUCAGUUAGCUCAAAGCAAUGAAACAUGACAACCACUACUCUUAAAAGUCUCAACCAAAAAAUCAUAUCACCAAAUCCCUCAACCACACUUUCAUUUUUUUCUUCAAUGCCAUCAUCUGCAAAUCCAAACCAAGCAAACGCACCAAAAGAAUUAAAGAUAGGACAGAACCCAAUAACACUACCUUGCUUUUCUA
rnacentral:misc_RNA from 1 species